AUUGGGCCCGACGUCGCAUGCUCCCGGCCGCCAUGGCGGCCGCGGGAAUUCGAUUAGAGUUUGAUCCUGGCUCAGAUUGAACGCUGGCGGCAUGCCUUACACAUGCAAGUCGAACGGCAGCGCGGGGCAACCUGGCGGCGAGUGGCGAACGGGUGAGUAAUAUAUCGGAACGUACCCAGGAGUGGGGGAUAACGUAGCGAAAGUUACGCUAAUACCGCAUACGUCCUACGGGAGAAAGCAGGGGACCGCAAGGCCUUGCGCUCAUGGAGCGGCCGAUAUCUGAUUAGCUAGUUGGUGGGGUAAAGGCUCACCAAGGCAACGAUCAGUAGCUGGUCUGAGAGGACGACCAGCCACACUGGGACUGAGACACGGCCCAGACUCCUACGGGAGGCAGCAGUGGGGAAUUUUGGACAAUGGGGGCAACCCUGAUCCAGCAAUGCCGCGUGAGUGAAGAAGGCCUUCGGGUUGUAAAGCUCUUUUGUCAGGGAAGAAAAGGAUCUGGCUAAUACCCAGGUCUGCUGACGGUACCUGAAGAAUAAGCACCGGCUAACUACGUGCCAGCAGCCGCGGUAAUACGAAUCACUAGUGAAUUCGCGGCCGCCUGCAGGUCGACCAUAUGGGAGAGCUCCCAA
rnacentral:rRNA from 1 species